UACGUAGGGUGCAAGCGUUGUCCGGAAUUAUUGGGCGUAAAGAGCUCGUAGGCGGUCUGUCGCGUCGGCUGUGAAAACCCGGGGCUCAACCCCCGGGCCUGCAGUCGAUACGGGCAGACUAGAGUGCGGUAGGGGAGACUGGAAUUCCUGGUGUAGCGGUGAAAUGCGCAGAGUAUCAGGAGGAACACCGGUGGCGAAGGCGGGUCUCUGGGCCGAUACUGACGCUGAGGAGCGAAAGCGUGGGGAGCGAACAGG
rnacentral:rRNA from 1 species